rnacentral:rRNA from 2 species
GAAUAAGCCCCGGCUAACUUCGUGCCAGCAGCCGCGGUAAUACGAAGGGGGCUAGCGUUGUUCGGAAUUACUGGGCGUAAAGGGUGCGUAGGCGGGUCUUUAAGUCAGGUGUGAAAUCCCGGGGCUCAACUCGGAAACUGCCUUUGAUACUGAAGAGCUUGAGUUCGGGAGAGGUGAGUGGAAUUGCCGGUGUAGCGGUGAAAUGCGUAGAUAUUCGGAGGAACACCUGUGGCGAAGGCGGCUCACUGGACCGAUACUGACGCUGAGGCACGAAAGCGUGGGGAGCAAACAGGAUUAGAUACCCUGGUAGUCCACGCCCUAAACGAUGAUUGCUUGCCGU